AUUGAACGCUGGCGGCAGGCCUAACACAUGCAAGUCGAACGAGUGGCGGACGGGUGAGUAAUGUCUGGGAAACUGCCUGAGGGAGGGGGAUAACGACUGGAAACGGUAGCUAAUACAGCAUACCAUCAGAUGGGCCCAGGUGGGAUUAGCUAGUUGGUGGGGUAACGGCUCACCAAGGCGACGAUCCCUAGCUGGUCUGAGAGGAUGACCAGCCACCCUGGAACUGAGACACGGUCCCGACUCCUACGGGAGGCAGCGGUGGGGAAUAUUGCACAAUGGGCGCAAGCCUGAUGCAUCCAUGCCGCGUGUAUGAAGAGGGCCUUCGGGUUGUAAAGUACUUUCAGCGGGGAGGCGUUACCCGCAGAAGAAGCACCGGCUAACUCCGUGCCAGCCGCCGCGGUAAUUC
rnacentral:rRNA from 1 species